rnacentral:rRNA from 1 species
AGGACGCUUCCUUCGGGAAGCGAGCGUACACAGGUGCUGCAUGGCUGCGUCAGCUCGUGUCGUGAGAUGUUGGGUUAAGUCCCGCAACGAGCGCAACCCUGCAUUCAGUUGCCAUCGGUAAGGCCGGGCACUCUGGAUGGACUGCCGGCGACAAGCCGGAGGAAGUGGGGACGACGUCAAGUCAUCAUGGCCCUUAUGUCCAGGGCGACACACGUGCUACAAUGGCCGGCACAACGGGAAGCGAAGGGGCGACCCUGAGCGGAUCCCCAUAAAAGCCGGUCCCAGUUCGGAUUGCAGUCUGCAACUCGACUGCAUGAAGUUGGAAUCGCUAGUAAUCGUGGAUCAGCCAAGCCGCGGUGAAUACGUUCCGGCCUU